GACGAACGCUGGCGGCGUGCUUAACACAUGCAAGUCGAACGGAAAGGCCCUGCUUUUGUGGGGUGCUCGAGUGGCGAACGGGUGAGUAACACGUGAGUAACCUGCCCUUGACUUUGUGAUAACUUCAGGAAACUGGGGCUAAUAUCGGAUAGGAGCUACUGCUGCAUGGUGUGGGUUGGAAAGUUUCGGCGGUUGGGGCUGGACUCGCGGCUUAUCAGCUUGUUGGUGGGGUAGUGGCUUACCAAGGCUGUGACGGGUAGCCCGCCUGAGAGGGGUACCGGCCACAAUGGGACUGAGGGACGGCCCAGACGCCUACGGGAGGCAGCAGUGGGGAGUAUGGCACAGUGGGCGGAAGCGUGAUACGGCAACGCUGCGAGCGUGAAGACGGCCUUCGGGUUGUAAACCGCUUUCGCCUGAGACGAAGCGGGAGUGACGGUAAUGGGUAAAGAAGCACCGGCUAACUACGUG
rnacentral:rRNA from 1 species